rnacentral:lncRNA from 1 species
AAUUAAUAAAUAAAUGGUGGAAAUGAGAAUUUUAUUUCUUGUUGUGGUAAUCAUUUGGAAAAUUCUAAUAGAUAGGGUGGUUUUAUAUGAAAUAUAUUCAAAGCAUAUACUCCCUUUGAAGGGUUAUAAUAAUAAGAGUGAGGCUACUAUGCUAUCGAAAGCACGGAACCUUCCGUGCUUCUAGCUUGUUUUCGAUGUUGCGAUGUUCGAAUCGUCGAUCGGCUCUGUUAAACUUGAUAUAGAGUAUUUGGAGUACCUAGAAAAUAAAUUUUAUGAUUUUACGAUAUCAUUUGCCUAGUGAACGAAGGGGCUCAAAAUCAACGGCUGAAAAUAAAAAUCUUAUAAAAUGUAAUAAUACGACAUUAAAAUUUUAAAUCAAAAAUAUUAAUCUUGUUUUAUAUAGUAUAAAGAAUUUUCUAUCAAAAUUUCACGUGAUUUGGAUAUUUCUACACCGUUAAACUUGCAAACGGCUCACUACGGCCAUUGAAAUUUGUUGAUUUUGAGCCCAUUCGAUCACUAGGCAAAUGAUAUCGAAAAAUAAUAAAAUUUAUUUUCUAGGUACUCCAAAUACUCUAGAUCAAGUUUAACGGAGCCGAUCGACGAUUCGAAAGUCGCAACAUCGAAAACAAGCUGAAAGCACGGAAGGCUCCGUGCUUCUGAUAGUAUAGUAGCCUCACUCUAAUAAUAAUACAAUGAUACUUUUUCAACAAUCCAAUAUAUACGGCAAAAAUUAAAAUGAAUAUAUAAUAUAAUUU